GCCGUCAUUAUGUAGCGGUAGCAUCUCUGCCUUCCAAGCAGAUAGGGCGGGUUCGAAUCCCGUUGACGGCUCCA
rnacentral:tRNA from 1 species